UGGGGGAGACAGUACAGCCCCUUCCUUCAUUUGACCUGUGUUCCCACUGCUGCUGUCCUUAAUGCCAGCACACUGCGCCUCCCCUGCACUGAACCUCUCACUGCACAUGCUUCCUCCUGCUGCCUCUCCCCACCCACCACCCCUCCAUUGCUUUCCACCCAACCCUGGCUGGCGGCACAAACCACAUCUGGGAGCUGGUUAGAAAUCUAGAAUGAGCUCCCUCAGUCCUACCGAAGCAGAAUCUACAUUUUAACACGCUGCCGCGAUUCCUGUGCACAUCAGUAUUUGGGAAGCAUUCCAGUCUAAGAGAAGGGGCCCACUCCAUGGUAAAGCUAUUUCCAUACUUAAUCCCCCCACGUUACCCCUUUUUACUUAACAGGGUGACAGGAGGCCUUGAUGCCAUUUUUCUAGCCUUUCUUUGUCACCCUCUAAGGAUUCCUUUCCUCUUAUGCAGAAAUCCAGGCUUGUAGCAACCAUAGCAUUGACAACAUGGUCCCUGCACCUAUUUGCUUGUCUUUUCCCACCUAGACUAACUUCCCUGGAGGGCAGUGCACAGGACCACAUCAGCCCAGGGCAGUGCUAGUGAAUGAUGAGCUUUCACCAGUUUGGGAUUAUCCUAAUUUGCAGUGUCUGGUGUGAUACCCAGGGCAUCGGAUGCUCGGUAACUGGAGCCCAGAGAAGGGAAAUGAUGUCUGGAGUGUUUUCAAUUCUAUUGUGCUGUUUUUGCUCAAAGCAAUAUAUGUUUUUUUAAAAAUGGAGGACCAUAGUUGUCAGAGGCCAGGUUUAAUGGUUUUAGUUCCCAUCAAAUUAUAAACAAAUGGGCUGGGCGAGGUGGCUUGUUCCUGUAAUCCCAGCACUUUGGGAGGCCGAGGCGGGCAGAUCACCUGAGGUCAGGAGUUUGAGACCAGCCUGGCCAACAUGGUGAAACCCCAUCUCUACUAAAAAUAUGAAAAUUAGCUGGGCCUGGUGGCAGGCGCCUGUAAUCCCAGCUACUCAGGAGGCUGACGCAGGAGAAUCACUUGAACUCGGGAGAGAGAGGUUGCAGUGAACCCAGAUCAUGCCAUUGUACUCCAGUCUAGGCGACAGAGCGCGACUGUCUCAAAAAAAAUGUUUGGGUCAUCUCUGGCAAGAGCUGAAAAAGCCACCCUUUCUAGCUUCCCUCUGAGUCACAGCACUGUUCCCUGCCCCCAGGUGGCCCCAACCCCAGCGUGGGCAGUAAUUAUGUAACUUGUAGGGUCUCUGAGAAGGUAUGGAGACACAGAGAUCUGGAUGCUGGAGUGAGAAGAGUCCUUAGCAAACCUGCUGAAUGUUAGAUACUGGCCGUCAAAUAGCCCAUGAUGAUACAAGUGUAAUUUUUUCCCCCGAUAACUUAUUCAGUGUUUACAAAUGAGCAUCACUUUUAAUAUAAAGCAAACAAAUCUGAACUUUUAAAAAAAUUGUAUGAUUAAUGGAGCAUUUUAAAACAUUAUACCAAAAUUGGACCUUUCAUAUUUGAAGAGACAUCUAUACUAAGCCCAAUUUUAUAGAUGGGGCAAUUAAGUCCCAGAGAGGGCAAGUGACUUACCAUGAGCAAGUGACUUACCAUGACUCACAGAGUCCAAGCCAACAUUAUGAUGAAACACAUCCCCCUCCCCUAAACCCUUAGCACACUCAUUUGGAGGACAGAAAGCUAGGAGGGAGCUGCCCAGCUUAUAGGACUCGAUGUUGCUUGGAGGAUAAAUAUCCAGGGAAUGAGUCUUCCUGCUGCUCUACCAACAGGACUGGUAAGGAAAUGACUCAUGGAAAGGAGAUGGCCCAGAACAGUCAUGGAAACCAGCCUCCUGCCUCAAGAACUUCCUAGAACUCACCCACCCACCCAUCUUGCCCAGCCUUCUAUCCAUCUAUUUAUCCACCCAUCUAUUACCUACCUGCACAUUUAUCCAUACACCCCUUCAUUCACUCUUCCAUCCAUCUGCCAUCCUAUUCACCCAUCCAUCCUACCAAUGUUUAUAUCGUGAGAAUCUAAUAUGUGCCUGGCAUGGUUCUCGAUGCUAAGAUGCAAAAAUAGUGCCUGCCCUCAGAGCUCUCAGCCAACUGGGAGAAAACAUAGAAACUGACAAUUCCCACUCCAUGAGAUACGUGAAGGUGCAAACCAGAUGCCACCACACAUAGCUGAAGCAUUGACUUGAGUAUGGAAGGGCAGAGCAAGAGGGUCCUGGAAGGACCAAGAGUUAAACAGAAGUGAAGAAUACCAUGGGCAUGGCAAUGAAAAGUUCAAAGAAAAGUGUUCCAGGUGGAAGGAACAGCAUGUGCUAAGGCCUGGGGUAAAAGAGCACAGUCCCAACAAUACAUCCCUACCUAACCCAUCUAGUUCUUGCUCCUCCCUCCAGCUCCAUCCAGCCUUCUUACAUCCCAGUUCUUGCUGCAACUUCCCCACCCCUCACCCCCACCAGUAUCCUCCAGGCCAGAAGCUGGGCUAGGAUUCUUGCUGAGCAGGCAGGUGAAACCAGAGGAGGGAGCUGGGCAGAGACCACAGUUCCAGCCUGAACCAGAAGAGGCAGCGGAAUGGGGAGAAGAUGGAGGGAGGCUGAAAUUCCAUGUCUGAGAAUGCCCAUGAUAAUGCCCCAGGGCUCUGAGUCCCUAACACAAUUGGCAUUAGAAGACCCGGGGAUCUGUGACUGGAUCAUGGUGUAUGAUCAGUUCCUUACUUGGGUAAUAUACCUAUUCUAAGCUCUCACCACACUCACACAGUUACCUUUUUAACUGCACAUCUGGCCCCAUCAUUGCCCGGCUCGGAGCCCCUCACUGGCCCUCUGCACAGCACAUCUCACCCUUAACUCAUCCAGGUGUGGGCCCUGUAUCUUUGAAGUCAUCCCUCCCCACUUAUCUUGUUUCCCUUCACACACCAGCAGCACAGUACUUCCAAUGCCCUGAAAAGCAAUGCUCUCCCAUUUUAGGUUUUGCGUGUGCUUCUCUUUCAGCUUGGAAUGCGGUGCAUCCUUCUUUGAAUUUCUGCUCAUUCUUCAGGAGUAGGCCUUAAUGUCACUUCUUCCAGGAAGCCUUCCCUGACUGCCCACUUCCCUACUCCUUGGUGCUCUCAGAGUGUUCUCUCCCAACUUUAGGUAGCACAUACCAAGCACAAUGUUAGUAUGACUACAGAUGGUUCUACUUAGGACUUUCGAUUUUAUGAUGGGUUUAUUGGGUAUUAAAUGCUUUUUUUUUUUUUUUUUUUUGAGAUGGAGUCUUGCUCUGUCGCCCAGGCUAGAGUGCAGUGGCACAAUCUUGGCUCACUGCAAAUUUCACCUCCCGAGUUCAAGAGAUUCUCCUGCCUUAGCCUCCCAAGUAGCUGGGAUUAUAGUGCCCGCCACCGUACACGGCUAAUUUUUGUAUUUUUUAGUAGAGAUGGGGUUUCACCAUCUUAGCCAAGCUUGUCUCGAACUCCUGACCUCAUGAUCCACCUGCCUCAGCCUCCCAAAUUACAGACGUUAAAUGCAUUUUUGACUUAGAAUUUUUUCAACUUACAAUGGGUUUAUUGGGACAUAACCCCACUGUAAGUCAAAGACCAUCUGUAUUACUUUAAUGAUAUGUUGUCUCCUGAUGCCCAACUGACCCUCCCACCACACAGUGGACUCUCAGAACAGCGACUUUGUCUUGUAUUUCCAGUGCUUAGUGCAUUGUAGGUACUCAGGAAAAUGUUAGUUGGGUGAAUCAGUGAGUGUGUGAUGAAGAUAAUACACUAAUAUUUCUAGAGUGCUAGUGCAUGUCAAUCAGUGCUUCAUAAAUAUUGUUUAAUUUAAUUCU
ensembl:lncRNA